GCCGGCAGGCGUACGUUAUAUGAGUGGUGUGUUGGCGUUCUCGUGCGCGUGCGUACGUACGUGGUUAUGUGUACGAACUACGAAGGACGGUGCUUUGGGGCUUAGCAAACUAGUGGAGUGGAGCACCGCGCUGGUGGUAAUGCCUGACACGCGCGGUCCUUGAGCUCUGUGUACGAAACGAUAGAGAUGUGUGCGUGCUGUGUGUGUGCCGUCUGGAGAUGCGCCAGAGAGUGUGUGUUGCCGUGUUUGGGAUGGAUGGAUCAUCCCAGUUACCUGAUGUAUCAAGUGUUAAAUGGUAAUUAUGUUUGGCUUACUUUCACAUGCUUUUCUGAGAGGCAUCCAAACGUUUUUUUUCUUCUUCUUUUUGAGGGUAGAGGCGUCCAAAUGUUGGUUGGUUUGGACUCAAGAAAUGAACUCGCUGGAAUUUUGGGGAAGUAGCAUGUACAGUAGAGGGUGGGUGAGAACUUAAAAGUUCAGUUCAUGCAUGCACAUACCGCAGCAGAUGUCUGAAGGAUUCUGAAUUCUAAAUACAUCCGACUCAGCGUGCGCACAACAUGCAAAAACUGAUGGUUUCAAGCGAGAACAAAGUUUGUGUUAUUGGCUGGAGAUGAAUCAUACCCGUCGACUAAUGAAUGCACGCAAAUAAUCAUAUCGGCGAAGAGCAAAGUUAAUAAGUUAUACUAGACCGAAGCUCUGGCUAAAGCAAUCAAAACACCGAUUGAUGAACUGCAACAACGAUCAUCCAUAUCAACCAUUUAUUGACAUCACAAAAAUUACCAGAAAGGUUGAAUGACACCAACGCCUUCAAAAGGGGAAUAAUGCUCAAAUGACAUCCGGAUCCAACUACAAAGAGUCAAAUCUUGGGUUUUCACCGUGAAAAUAAUAGUCCGAGUAAAUCAAAACAAUGCCUUCAAUAAGGCAACAGUACAAAACCACCGUCAUUUCAGGAAUAACCAAUUAGAGUAUGGCCUUGGAUUUUUCACCACGGAGCUCUAGACCUGGUACUUGAAAAGCAUCACCAAAUCAAAAUCAUGUGUUGUAGCCACCAUUUUCCGCUAUCCCAACAGUCACAUGCAUAGCACGACUUUCAUGUGAAAUGCCAUGCAAAUGAUGACCACACCCGCCCAAGUAGGCAGUCAAACUGCAACAAGUGCGGUCUCUAUGAAAUGCACAGAACAACAAAGGUUGUCAUUGCACAUGCGACAAAAAAUGUCGAGGAAGGAAGGUCAUCAGUGCCGCCAAAAUCCUAACUGGGGACACUUUGGUAGUCCCAAACUACCCUCAUACUCCGGCGUCCUCGUCUACGGCAACACAAUUGAUCGGCAAAACAAGUUCGUCCUUCUCGCUGAAUGGGAAGGUCGAAGAUCCUCCAACUUAUUGUGACAACCACCUAGCAGCGCAGGAACACGACGCGGUCCGUGCCCACGGGCGGAGGACCGCCUCAUUGGGAUGCAGAAGGGUGCCAUUGUUGUCCACAUACCUGCAGAUGGGAUCAGGGUCACCGUUGCCUCACCCCCAAAGAUCACCAGCCCGUCCGGAAACACCGGCACCGCCGUUGCACAACUAUAAACCUUUGGCUCAACUUGUAGCUCGUAGAUCGCAUCCCGCCGCUAAAGGCUACUAAAGAUCGCAUCCCGUCCACGUCGAAUCAUCCCCCGACACUAGCUAAACCGUUUUCGCUGCCACAUGUGGCCAUUGUCGCGCCACCCCGCCUUGCCCUAUGUGCCUCCUCCGUCGUCGUCCCAGCCACCCCUCUAAGGGAGCCUCUAGUCGAUCUCCCAAAAGGGCUUAACUCCUCAAAAAAUCCCUUUUGAGGAGUUAAGUCGCACAUAGCCGAACCCUCAUCUGGUUUAGUUGCUUAAAUGUUUUAGGAGGGGCUUCGGUUAACUCUCAAAUUUGAGCAGCUGAAGCAACUUCUCAAGGAAAAAAUUGCCACCUUGAAGGCCUCGCUCUCCCGCUUGCCCGCAUCCACACUGGUGUUGCCUCUGGCGACCAUCCGUACAUUCCACCAACACCUCAUACCCCCCCGCCUCCCCGCGCACUUUGACUCGCUCAUUGGUCACCGCCAUCACCGAAAUGGACCCAUAUCUUUGUUGCCUCGCUCUUGUGGACGAAAAGGCCCACCAUCGAGCUAGGUUUCGUCCUAAACAGAGCUGGCAGAUGGCCGAGAUGCCUUAGCACCUGAUAACCCACAAGUAUAGGGGAUCGCAACAAUUUUCAAGGGUAGUGUAUUCAACCCAAAUUUAUUGGUUCGACACAAGGGGUGCCAAAGAAUAUUCGCAAGUAUUAGCAGUUGAGUUGUCAAUUCAACCACACCUGAUAGACUUAAUAUCUGCAGCAAAGUAUUUAAUAGAAAAGUAGUAUGAUAGUAAUGGUAACAGUAGCAAUCGUAACAGUAGCAGUUUUGUAGUGAUUAUAACAGUAGCAACGACGAAAGUAACUUAGCAAAGACCAAUAUGUGAAAAGCUCGUAGGCAUUGGAUCAAUGAUGGAUAAUUAUGUUGGAUAACAUUCAUCAUGUAGCAGUUAUAACCUAGGGCGACACAGAACUACCUCCAAUUCAUCAAUGUAAUGUAGGCAUGUAUUCCGUAUAUAGUCAUACAUGCUUAUGAAAAAGAACUUGCAUGGCAUCUUUUAUCCUACCCUCCCGUGGCAGCGGAGUCCAUAAGGAAACUAAGGGAUAUUAAGGCCUCCUUUUAAUAGAGAACCGGAACAAAGCAUUAGCACUUAGUGAAUACAUGAACUCCUCAAACUACGGUAACCACCGUAAAGAAUCCCAAUUAUUGUCACCUUGGGGUAUGCGGAUCAUAACUUGUAAUAGGUGCGUAUAACUUAUAAGAUAGGAUCAAGAACACAAAUAUAUUCAUGAAAACAUAAUAGGUUCAGAUCUGAAAUCAUGGCACUCGGGCCCUAGUGACAAACAUUAAGCAUAGCAAAGUCAUAACAAUAUCAAUCUCAGAACAUAGUGGAUACAAGGGAUCAAUCCCUAACAAAACUAACUCGAUUACAUGAUAAAUUUCAUCCAACCCAUCAUCGUCCAGCAAGCCUACGAAGGAAUUACUCACUCCCGGCGGUGAGCAUCAUGAAAUUGGUGAUGGAGGAAGGUUGAUGAUGAUGACGACGACGGAUUCCACCCUUCGGAGCCCCGAACGGACUCCAGACCAGCCCUCCCGAUGAAGAAUAGGAGGUGCGGUGGCUCCAUAUCGUAAAACACGAUGAAUCCUUCUCCCUAUUUUUUCUUGGCGAAUAGGUAUAUAUGGAGUCAGAGUUUGGGUUGCCGGAGGUCCAGGGGGCCCACAAGCUCGCUAGGUGCGCCCUGGGGGUGGGCGCCCCCCGAGCUUGUGGCUCCUAGGUGCCCCCCUCUAGUAUAUUUUUCCACCAGUAUUUUUCAUAUAUUCCACAAAAAUUCUCCAUAAAUUUUUAGGUCAAUCCGAGAAUUUUGAUUUCUGCACAAAAAACAACACCAUGGCAAUUCUGCUGAAAACAGCGUCAGUCCGGGUUAGUUUCAUUCAAAUCAUGCAAAAUAGAGUCCAAAACAAGAGCAAAAGUGUUUGGAAAGUGGAGAUGUAUCAACUCCCCCAAUCUUAACUCGUUGCUUGUCCUCAAGCAAUUCUGUUGACAAACUGGAAGUGACAAAGAAAAACUUUUAGAAACUCUGUUUGAUCUUGUUUCUGCAAAUAUGUCUAACCAAUGUUCAGGUUUUCAGCAAAGAUUAUGAACUAACCAUAUUCACAAUAACACUUAGGACUCACAUUUGCUCAUAUCAAUGGCAUAAUCAACUAGCGAGCGAUAAUAAGAUAUCUCGGAUGACAACACUUUUCAAAACAAUCAUGAUAUAAUAUGACAUAAUGGUAUAUCGGUAGCCCUUUCUGAGACUGCAAAACAUAAAUGCAGAGCACCUCUGAAGUUCAAGCACUGACUAGACAUUGUAAUUCAUGGCAAAAGGGAUCUAGUCAAGCUCAUAUUCAAUAUCAACUAAACACAAAUCAUAGAAAUGACAAUAGCGCUCUCUAGCCGGUGCUUUGAUGAGAAGACGAUGAAUCAACAAUAAAAGUAAAUAGAUAGGCCCUUCAGAGAGGGAAGCAGGGAUUUGCAGAGGUACCAGAGCUCGAAGCUUUAAAAAAAGAGAUGAAUAUAAUGUUGGGAGGCAUGCUUUCAUUGUCAACGUAGCGACCGAGAGUUCCCAAUAUCUUCCAUGCUAGACACAUUAUAGGCGGUUCCCAAACAGAAAGGUAAAGUUUUACUCCCCAUCCAACAACAAACACAAGCCAUGGCUAGCCGAAUCCUCGGGUGCCCCCCAUACCAACAACAAUCCGGGGGAGUUUUGUUUCAUUAUUAUAUUUUGAUUUUGAUUAUAGGACUGGGCAUCCCAAUUACCAGCCACUUUCUUGUGAAUGAAAAGUGAAUAAACACUUAUCAUGAGAAUAACCCAUUAAUGUCUACUACACAACCUUCUUCUUGUAGACGUUGUUGGGCCUCCAAGUGCAGAGGUUUGUAGGACAGUAGCAAAUUUCCCUCAAGUGGAUGACCUAAGGUUUAUCAAUCCGUGGGAGACGUAGGAUGAAGAUGGUCUCUCUCAAGCAACCCUGCAACCAAAUAACAAAGAGUCUCUUGUGUCCCCAACACACCCAAUACAAUGGUAAAUUGUAUAGGUGUACUAGUUCGGCGAAGAGAUGGUGAUACAAGUGCAAUAUGGAUGGUAGAUAUAGGUUUUUGUAAUCUGAAAUUAUAGAAACAGCAAGGUAGCAAGUGGUAAAAGUGAGCGUAAACGGUAUUGCAAUGCUAGGAAACAAGGCCUAGGGUUCAUACUUUCACUAGUGCAAGUUCUCUCAACAAUAAUAACAUAGUUGGAUCAUAUAACUGUUGGGGAACGUAGUAAUAAUUCAAAAUUUUCCUACGUGUCACCAAGAUCAAUCUAGGAGAUGCUAGCAACGAGAGAGAGGGAGUGCAUCUUCCUACCCUUGAAGAUCGCUAAGUGGAAGCAUUACAAGAAUGCGGUUGAUGGAGUCGUACUCGCGGCGAUUCAAAUCGCGGAAGAUCCGAUCUAGCGCCGAACGGACGGCGCCUCCGCGUUCAACACACGUACAGCCCGGGGAUGUCUCCUCCUUCUUGAUCCAGCAAGGGGAGAGGAGAAGUUGAGGGAAAGCUCCGGCAGCACGACGGCGUGGUGGUGGAGCUUGCGGUUCUCCGGCAGGGCUUCGCUAAGCACUAUGGAGGAGGAGGAGGUGUUGGAGGAGGAGAGGGCUGCGCCUGGGGAAGGGUGCGGCUGCCCUCUCUCUCCCUCACUAUAUAUAGGGGGAAGGGGGGUGGAGGAGGCACCCUAGGGUUCCCUAGGGGAGGGGUGGUGGCCACAGGGGAAACCCUAGAUGGGUUUGGGCGCCCCCACCCCUAGGAAACUUGCCCCCCAAGCCGGGAGGGGUGGCUUCCAUAGGGGAGGCGCCCCCACCUCUCCACGUUACGUGAGAUGGGGUGGGAGGGGCGCACAGCCCCUUAGUGGGCUGGUGUGCCCCCUCCCCUUGGCCCAUAAGGCCCCCCAACGCUUGCCGGGGCCUCCGAAACACCUUUCGGUCACGCUGGUCGUCACCCGGUACUCCCAGAACAAUUCCGGACUCCAAUACCCUUCGUCCAAUAUAUCGAUCUUCACCUCCGGACCACUCUGGAGUUCCUCGUCACGUCCGGGAUCUCAUCCGGGACUCCGAACAACCUUCGGUAACCACAUACUAUUUCCCAUAACAACUCUAGUGUCACCGAACCUUAAGUGUGUAGACCCUACGGGUUCGGGAACCAUGCAAACAUGACCGAGACACCUCUCCGGCCAAUAACCAAUAGCGGGAUCUGGAUACCCAUAUUGGCUCCCACAUGUUCCACGAUGAUCUCAUCGAAUGAACCACGAUGUUGGGGAUUCAAUCAAUCCCGUAUACAAUUCCCUUUGUCUAUCGGUAUGUUACUUGCCCGAGAUUCGAUCGUCGGUAUCCCCAUACCUCGUUCAAUCUCGUUACCGGCAAGUCUCUUUACUCGUUCCGCAACGCAUGAUCCCGUGGCUAACUCAUUAGUCACAUUGAGCUCAUUAUGAUGAUGCAUUACCGAGUGGGCCCAGAGAUACCUCUCCGUCAUACGGAGUGACAAAUCCCAGUCUCGAUUCGUGCCAACCCAACAGACACUUUCGGAGAUACAUGUAGUGCACCUUUAUAGUCACCCAGUUACGUUGUGACGUUUGAUGCACCCAAAGCACUCCUACGGUAUCCGGGAGUUGCACAAUCUCAUGGUCUAAGGAAACGAUACUUGACAUUAUAAAAGCUCUAGCAAAACGGACUACACGAUCUUGUGCUAUGCUUAGGAUUGGGUCUUGUCCAUCACAUCAUUCUCCCAAUGAUGUGAUCCCGUUAUCAACGACAUCCAAUGUCCAUGGCCAGGAAACCAUGACCAUCUAUUGAUCAACGAGCUAGUCAACUAGAGGCUUACUAGGGACAUGUUGUGGUCUAUGUAUUCACACAUGUAUUACGUGAACAAGGAAAUAUAAUAAUAACCAUUUUAUUAUUGCCUCUAGGGCAUAUUUCCAACAGUCUCCCACUUGCACUAGAGUCAAUAAUCUAGUUCACAUCACCAUGUGAUCAACACUCAUAGUUCACAUCGCCAUGUGACUAACACCCAAGAGUUUACUAGAGUCAAUAAUCUAGUUCACAUCGCCAUGUGAUUAACACCCAGGAGUUUACUAGAGUCAACAAUCUAGUUCACAUCACCAUGUGAUUAACACUCAAUGAGUUCUAGGGUUUGAUCAUGUUAUGCUUACGAGAGAGGUUUUAGUCAACGGGUCUGCAACAUUCAGAUUCGUGUGUUCUUUGCAAAUCUCUUUUUCAUAUUGUAGAUGUUGCUACUAUGCUCCACUUGGAGCUAUUCCAAAUGGUUGCUCCACUAUACGUAUCCGGUUUGCUACUCAGAGUCAUCUGGAUAGGUGUUAAAGCUUGCAUCGACGUAACCCUUUACGCCAAACUCUUCAUCACCUCCAUAAUUGAGAAAACAUUUCCUUAUUCCCAAGGACAAUUUUGACCGCUGUCCAAUGAUCCACUCCUGGAUCAUUCUUAUACCCCCUUUCCAGAGACGUGGCAAGGCACAUCGCGGGACACAGCAUGGCAUAUCGUAUAGAGCCUAUGGCUAAUGCAUAGGGAACGACUUUCGUCCUUUCUAUUUCUUCUGCCGUGGUCGAGCUUCAAGUCUUAACUUCACACCUUACAACUCAGGCAAGAACUCCUUCUUUGACUGAUCCAUCUUGAACUCCUUCAAGAUCAUGUCAAGGUACGUGCUCUGUGAAAGUCUUAUCAGGCGUCUUGACCUAUCUCUAUAGAUCUUGAUACCCAACAUGUAAGCAGUUUUACACAGGUCUGCCUUUGAAAAACUCCAUUCAAACAACCCUUUAUGCUUUCCAUAAAUUCUACAUCAUUUCCGGUCAACAAUAUGUCAUCCACAUAUACUUGUCAAAAUGUUGUAGUGCUCCCACUCACUUUCUUGCAAAUACAAGUUUCUUGCAAACUUUGUAUAAACCCAAAUGCUUUGAUCACCUCAUCAAAGCGUAUGUUCCAACUCCGAGAUGCUUGCUCCAGUCCAUAGAAGGAUCGCUGGAGUUUGCAUACCUUUUAGCAUCCUUAGGAUCGACAAAACCUUUUGGUUGUAUCACAUACAGCCUUUCCUCACGGAAACCGUCAAGGAAACUUUGUUUUGACAUCCAUCUGCCAAAUUUCGUAAAUGAAAAUGCAGCAACUGCUAACAUAAUUCUAACAGACUUUAGCAUCGCUAUGAUUGAGAGAGUCUCAUCAUAGUCAACCCCUUGAACUUGUCGGAAACUUCUUUGAGACAAGUCGAGCUUCACAAAUGGUGAUAUUACCAUCAGCGUCUGUCUUCUUCUUAAAGAUCCAAUUAUUCUCAAUGGCUUGCCAAUCAUCGGGCAAGUCCACCAAAGUCCAUACUUUGUUCUCAUACAUGGAUCCUAUCUCGGAUUUCAUGGCUCCUAGCCAUUUGUUGGAAUCCGGGCCCACCAUCGCUUCUCCAUAGCUCAUAGGUUCAUCGUUGUCCAACAAUCAUGACCUUUAAGACAUGGUUACCACUCAGAAGUUGUACACACCCUUGUCGACCUAUGAGGUUUGAUAGUAACUUGAUCUGAAGCUCUAUGAUCAUCAUCAUUAGCUUUCUCUUCAACUAAGGUAGGUGCCAUAGAAACAUCUUUCUGUGCUGUGCUAUUCUCUGGUUGAAGUAAAGGUUCAACAACCUCAUCAAGUUCUAUCUUCCUCCCACUCAAUUCUUUCGAGAGAAACUCUUUCUCGAGAAAGGACCUGUUCCUAACGACAAACACUUUGCCCUCAGAUCUGAGAUAGAAGGUAUACCCAAUCAUCAGACACAAUUUUCCGCUUUGGGUUCGAGCUUUUCUGGCCGAAGCCUAUCGACAAAAGCAUCAUAGCGCCAAACCUUAAGAAACAACAACUUAGGUUUCUUGCUAAACCAUAGUUCAUACGGUGUUGACUCCACGGACUUAGAUGGCGCCCUAUUUAAAGUGAAUGUAAUUGUCUCUAAUGCAUAACCCCAAAAUGAUAGCGGUAGAUCGGUAAGAGACAUCACAGAUCGCACCAUAUCCAAUAGGGUGCGAUUACGACAUUCGGACACACCAUUACGCUAUGGUGUUCCAGGUAGCGUCAACUGUGAAACGAUUCCACCUUGUCUUUAGUGAUUGCCAAACUCAUAACUCAGAUACUCUCCCCUUGAUCAGAUCGUAGGAACUUGAUCUUCUUGUUAUGAUGAUUCUCAACUUCACUCUAAAAUUGCUUGAAAUUUUCAAACAUUUCAUACUUAUGCUUCAUUAAGUUAAUAUACCCAUAUCUACUCAAUUCAUCGGUGAAGGUGAGAAAAUAACGAUAUCCACUGUGUGCGUCAACACUCAUCGGACCGCACACAUCAGCAUGUGUUGUUUCCAACAAGUCACUUGCCCGUUCCAUUGUUCCAGAAAACGGGGUUUUAGUCAUCUUGCCUAUGAGGCCUAGUUCGCAUGUGUCAGGUGAUUCAAAAUCAAGUGACUCCAAAAGUCCAUUAGCAUGGAGGUUCUUCAUGCGCUUUACACCAAUAUGACCUAAGCGACAGUGCCACAUGAAAGUGGUACUAUCAUUAUCAACUUUACAUCUUUUGACAUCAAUGUUAUGACCAUGUGUAUCACUACGACCGAGAUUCUAUAAACCAUUCACAUUGGGUGCAUGACCAUAGAAGGUAUUAUUCAUUUAAACAGAAUAACCAUUAUUCUCUGACUUAAUGAAUAACCGUAUUGCAAUAAACAUGAUCUAAUCAUGUUCAUGCUCAACGCAAACACCAAUGCAAACAACAUUUACCUGGGUCCAACACUAAUCCCUAAGGUAGAGGGAGCGUGCGAUGGUGAUCAUAUCAUCCUUGGAAACACUUCCAACACACAUCGUCACCUCGCCCUUAGCUAGUCUCCGUUUAUUCCGUAUCUUUUGUUUUGAGUUACCAAUAUUAGCAACUGAACCGGUAUCUAAUACCCAUGUGCUACUUGGAGUACUAGUAAGGUACACAUCAAUAACACAUAUAUCAAAUAUACUUUUGUUGAAGUUGCCAGCCUUCUUAUCUACCAAGUAUUUGAGGCAGUUCCGCUACCAGUGACCGUUCCCCUAAUAGAAGCACUUCGUCUCGGGUUUGGGUUCUUGGGUUUCUUCACUGGAGUGGCAACUAGCUUUCCAUUCAUGAAGUUUCCCUUCUUUCCCUUGCCCUUCUUUGAAACCAGUGGUCUUGUUAACCAUCAACACUUUGAUGCUCCUUCUUGAUUUCUACCUUUACGACCUUAAGCACGACGAACAGCUCCGGGAUCAUCUUCCCUUGCAUGUUAUAGUUCAUCACAAAACUCUAGUAGCUUGGUGAUAGUGACUGGAGAACUUUGUCUCACUCUCUUAUCUGGAAGAUUAACUCCCACUUGAUUCAAGCGAUUGAAGUACCCAGACAUUCUAAGCACAUGCUCAAUGGCUGAGCUAUUCUCCCCAUCUUGUAGGCAAAGAUCUUCUUAGAGGACUCAAACCUCUCAACAUGGUCAUGAGCCUGAAAUACCAAUUUCAGCUCUUGAAACAUCUCAUAUGUUCCAUGGCAUUCAAAACGCUUUUGGAGCCCUGACUCUAAGCCGUAAAGCAUGGCGUACUAAACUAUCAGGUAGUCAUCAGAACGUGUCUGCCAGAUGUUCACAACAUCCACGGAUGACGCCAAAGGGGUUGGCACACCGAGCGGUGCAUCAAGGACAGAAGCCUUCUGUGUAGCAGUGAGGACAAUCCUCAGACUACGGCCCUAGUCCGCACAAUUUCUUACAAUAUCUUUCAACUUAGUCUUUCUCUAGGAACGUAUUAAAACAAGGAGCUAAAGCGCGAGCUAUUAAUCCACAACAUAAUUUGCAAAGACAAUUUAGACUAUGUUCAUGAUAAUUAAGUUCAUCUAAUCAAAUUAUUUAAUGAACUCCCACUCAGAUAGACAUCCCUCUAGUCAUCUAAGUGAUACAUAAUCCGAAUCGACUAGGCCGUGUCCGAUCAUCACGUGAGACGGACUAGUCAUCAACGGUGAACAUCUCCAUGUUGAUCGCAUCUACUAUACGACUCAUGUUCGACCUUUCGGUCUCUCGUGCUCCGAGGCCAUGUCUGUACAUGCUAGGCUCGUCAAGUCAACCUAAGUGUUUUGCAUGUGUAAAUCUGGCUUACACCCGUUGUAUUCGAACGUUAGAAUCUAUCACACCCGAUCAUCACGUGGUGCUUCGAAAUAACGAACCUUCGCAAUGGUGCACAGUUAGGGGGAACACUUUUCUUGAAAUUUUAGUGAGGGAUCAUCUUAUUUAUGCUAUCGCCGUUCUAAGCAAAUAAGAUGUAAACAUGACAAACAUCACAUGCAAAUCAUAAAGUGACAUGAUAUGGCCAAUAUCAUCUUGCGCCUUUGAUCUCCAUCUUCGAGGCACGGCAUGAUCACCUUUAUCACCGGCAUGACACCAUGAUUUUCAUCAUCAUGAUCUCCAUCAUCGUGUCUUCAUGAAGUUGUCUCGCCAACUAUUACUUCUACUACUAUGGCUAACGGUUAGCGAUAAAGUAAAGUAAUUACAUGGCGUUUUCAUUGACACGCGGGUCAUACAAUAAAUUAAGACAACUCCUAUGGCUCCUGCCGGUUGUCAUACUCAUCGACAUGCAAGUCGUGAUUCCUAUUACAAGAACAUGAUCAAUCUCAUACAUCACAUAUAUCAUUCAUCACAUCCUUUUGGCCAUAUCACAUCACAUAGCAUACCCUGCAAAAACAAGUUAGACGUCCUCUAAUUGUUGUUGCAUGUUUUACGUGGCUGCUAAGGGUUUCUAGGAAGAACGUUUCUUACCUACGCAAAAGCCACAACAGUGAUAUGCCAAUUGCUAUUUACCCUUCAUAAGGACCCUUUUCAUCGAAUCCGAUCCGACUAAAGUGGGAGAGACAGACACCCGCUAGCCACUUUAUGCAUCAAAUGCAUGUCUGUCGGUGGAACCUGUCUCACAGAAGAGUACGUGUAAGGUCGGUCCGGGCCGCUUCAUCCCACAAUGCCGCCGAAUCAAGAUAAGACUAGUAACGGUAAGCAAAUUAAACAAAUCAUCGCCCACAACUACUUGUGUUCUACUCGUGCAUAGAAUCUACGCAUAGACCUAGCUCAUGAUGCCACUGUUGGGGAACGUAGUAAUAAUUCAAAAACUUCCUACGUGUCACCAAGAUCAAUCUAGGAGAUGCUAGCAACGAGAGAGAGGGAGUGCAUCUUCAUACCCUUGAAGAUCGCUAAGCGGAAGCGUUACAAGAACGUGGUUGAUGGAGUCGUAUUCGCGGCGAUUCAAAUCGCGGAAGAUUCGAUCUAGCGCCGAACGGACGGCGCCUCCGCGUUCAACACACGUACAGAACGGGGAUGUCUCCUCCUUCUUGAUCCAGCAAGGGGAGAGGAGAAGUUGAGGGAAAGCUCCGGCAGCACGACGGCGUGGUGGUGGCGCUUGCGGUUCCCCGGCAGGGCUUCGCCAAGCACUAUGGAGGAGGAGGAGGAGGUGUUGGAGGAGGAGAGGGCUGCGCCUGGGGAAGGGUGCGGCUGCCCUCUCUCUCCCUCACUAUAUAUAGGGGGAAGGGGAGUGGAGGAGGCGCCCUAGGGUUCCCUAGGGGAGGGGCGGUGGCCACAGGGGAAACCCUAGAUGGGUUUGGGCGCCCCCACCCCUAGGAAACUUGCCCCCCAAGCCGGGAGGGGUGGCUGUGUAACGCCCACGAUGCGGCUAUAUCUCCCACGUGUCGAGGCACGACUUAGAGGCAUAACCGCAUUGUGGUUUUAUCGCAAGAAGGGUCAUCUUCACACAAUCCCAUGUAAUGAACAAGAAUGGGAUAACGAGAGUUGGCUUACAAUCGCCACUUCACACAAUACAUAAACAUAAUUCAUACAUCAUCCAAAAUCCACACAUAUAGACCGACUACGGUCAAAUCCAAAUGAAAAUAAGAUAACCCCAAAUGCUAGAUCCCCGAUCGUCCCAACUGGGCUCCACUACUGAUCAUCAGGAAAAGAAACAUAGUAAUGUCCACGUUCCUCAUCGAACUCCCACUUGAGCUCGGUUGCGUCAUCUGCACUAGCAUCGUCGGCACCUGCAACUGUUUAGGUAGAAUCUGUGAGUCACGAGGACUCAGCAAUCUCACACCCGCGAGAUCAAGACUAUUUAAGCUUAUAGGAAAGGAUGGUGUAAUGAGGUGGAGCUGCAGCAAGCACUAAGCAUAUAUGGUGGCUAACAUACGCAAAUGAGAGCGAGAAGAGAAGCAACGCAACGGUCGAGAAGCUAGAAAAGAUCAAGAAGUGAUCCUGAAACUACUUACGUUCAUGCAUAACUCAAACCGUGUUCACUUCCCGAACUCCGCCGAGAAGAGACCAUCACGGCUACACACACGGUUGAUGUAUUUUAAUUAAGUCAAGUGACAAGUUCUCUACAACCGGACAUUAACAAAUUCCCAUCUGCCUCAUAACCGCGGGCACGGCUUUCAAAAGAUAAUACCCUGCAGGGGUGUCCCAACUUAGCCCAUUAUAAGCUCUCACGGUCAACGAAGGAUAAACCUUCUCCCAGGAUGACCCGAUCAGUCUCGGAAUCCCGGUUUACAAGACAUUUCGACAAUGGUAAAACAAGACCAGCAAAGCCACCCGAAUGUGUCGACAAAUCCCGAUAGGAGCUGCACAUAUCUCGUUCUCAGGGCACACCGGAUUGUCCAAGCUUCCGAUAGGCGAGCCCAGAGUUGCCCCUGGUGGCCACCGGCGACUGACAGGUUGGGCCAAUACUCAGAGGAGCACUGGCCCGGGGGUUUAAAUAAAGAUGACCCUCGAGCUCGCGAAAACCCAAGGGAAAAGGCUUAGGUGGCAAAUGGUAAAACCAAAGUUGGGCCUUGCUGGAGGAGUUUUAUUCAAGGCGAACUGUCAAGGGGGUCCCAUAAAUCACCCAACCGCGUAAGGAACGCAAACUCAAGGAACAUAAUACCGGUAUGACAGAAACUAGGACGGCAAGAGUGGAACAAAACACCAGGCAUAAGGCCAAGCCUUCCACCCUUUACCAAAUAUAUAGAUGCAUUAAUUAAAUAAGAGAUAUUGUGAUAUUCCAAAAUAUCCAUGUUCCAACAUGGAACCAACUUCAACUUCACCUGCAACUAGCAACGCUAUAAGAAGGGCUAAGCAAAAGCGGUAACUUAGCCAAACAACGGUUUGCUAGAAAAGGAUGGUUAGAGGCUUGACAUGGCAAUAUGGGAGGCAUGAUAUAGCAAGUGGUAGGUAGCGCAGCAUGGCAAUAGAACGAACAACUAGUAAAGCAAAGAUAGAAGUGAUUUCGAGGGUAUGGUCAUCUUCCCUGCAAGGUUCUCAGAGUUGUCGAAAGCUUGAUCCUCGUAAGCGUACUCAACAAGUUCCUCGUUCACGAACUCGUCUCCCGGCUCUACCCACAACAAGAACACAAGCAAUGGAACCACAAUCAAUCAUGGGAAAUGCACAAGCAACAUGAUGCAAAACAUGUAUGAUAUGCGAGAUGUGGUAUGCGAUGCAUAUGCGUGCUCCGGAAGAAAAAUGGUGAACAAGGCAGUAACUUGGUAACCCAAGCAUGCCACUGGAAAUAUGAGAUGAUUUCGGUCGAAAUCGAUAUAAAGAUCACCGGAAACGGAUGCACGGUUUGCAAAUGGCAAGCAAAACAAGAAUGACACGAAUCUGCGAUUAACAGCAUGAUAGCACUUAGAAUACAUCAAGAAACUAUGCUACAGCACCCCACCAUAGCAACAAAGCAUAUGGCAGUAAUCUACAGGAGAUGCUUGACAAAAGAUGAACACUGAGCUACGGCUAGAUCACACCACAGAAGGUUCAAACAAGCAUGGCAAAAGUGCAAAAGAUAUCAGGGUCACAGACUUGGAGAAACUACUGGACAUGCCUGAAACAGUAUCAGGUAGCAAUGUUCAGAGCACGAAAUCAACAUGCUACAGGAACUUAACAUAGCAAAACAAGGCAUGUCAUGAAUCUACUAAAAGCAUGGAACAAAAGUCCCUUACUGACCAUAAGCCAAAAGGAGCAUAAAAUAUGAUGGCAACCAUGUAAACGUAGCAAGUUUCGUUAACAGGUUCCAGACUUGGCAGAAAACAGAGCAUGGCAGAACCAGACAUUAUGAGGACAUCUUUGUGAGCUUGAUUCACUCACCACAAGGCAAUGCAUAACAAAACAAGUAUACCUACAACAAGAUGGCAUGUUUAUGAAGCUAUCCAUGGCAAGAGAAAGUAUAUAGCAUGUAUGAAACAACUACAACAAGCUUGGAAAAAUUGAAUAUCAUGUUAACAAUCUGCCAGAAAUAUUUUAUAGCAAAAGUAGAGCAAGAUUGAGUCAUGCUAUCGCAUCCCAUAAUUGCAAACAAGGGCAUGAAUGGAUCAACUACAACAAUAUCUACAAAACAUCCUUACUGAACAUCACCAAAAUAAGCAUGGAUCUCUCUGUAGCCACAUGGAUACAUAGCAACAAAAUAACAGCAGUCACAGACGGUAAAAUUACUCUCUGAAAUCAAAAACAUCACGAAGCCUAGUUUGCAUGCUUGUGCUAGUCACCACAGAGAUCACAAAAAUACAUGGCAUACACCUAUGUAAAGAUGGAAUGGCAUACAUCAAAACACAUGUAGAGCUCAUGCCCAUAAGAUGCACAGAUUAAAUGAAACAAAAAUAACAAAUCCUCAAGUUCUGAUAAGUAACAGCAAUUAACAGCAACUAGCACUCUUGCACCAGAGAUUUGGGCAUCAAGAUGGACUCAAAUGAACAUGGUGCAAUGGAACAAAAUGAAGACCAUCUCAAGCCGACCAUUUCGAUAUAUUACACGCGCGAAACAGAGCUAUAUACAGAGAGUUAUGCCAUGAUGAAGUAUGCAACAAAAUAUGAAAUAUCACAUACUUGGAGAAAAUCGGGGGAAACAGAAGUCAACCCUAGGGUUCGACCCGAUCGGAUCUGGCUCGAGGGAGCUCGAGGCGGCGGCUUGCCGGAGCUUCGGCCGGAGCGGGAGGAAGAAGGAGGCGGGGCACGGGCGGAGCCGGCUCGGGCCGCGGGGCCGGCUGCGGGCCUCCCGGGCCGCGGCNNNNNNNNNNNNNNNNNNNNNNNNNNNNNNNNNNNNNNNNNNNNNNNNNNNNNNNNNNNNNNNNNNNNNNNNNNNNNNNNNNNNNNNNNNNNNNNNNNNNNNNNNNNNNNNNNNNNNNNNNNNNNNNNNNNNNNNNNNNNNNNNNNNNNNNNNNNNNNNNNNNNNNNNNNNNNNNNNNNNNNNNNNNNNNNNNNNNNNNNNNNNNNNNNNNNNNNNNNNNNNNNNNNNNNNNNNNNNNNNNNNNNNNNNNNNNNNNNNNNNNNNNNNNNNNNNNNNNNNNNNNNNNNNNNNNNNNNNNNNNNNNNNNNNNNNNNNNNNNGACGUGGCGGCCUCUGAGUGGCUGGGGGCGGCGGCGCCGAUGUGUCCGGCCCCGGGCGGACACGUCCGAUGGCGCGGAGGAGCGGGUUAGGGUUUCGGGGAUCCGGAAUUUUGGGCUAUUUGCAGGAGGGUUUUGCUGCAACACACAAAAGGAACUUGCGGUUACCCGGUUAACCGUUGGAGCACCAAACGACCUCCAAAUGGAACGAAACUUGACAGGUGGUCUACCGGUGGUAUACCAAGGCCACUUGACAAGACUCGACCAUUCCGAGAACGUUCAACACCCGCUCACGAAAAGAAAACAAGAGGGGUGCGCCGGAGGAGGUGGGAGUGCCGGAUUGCAAAACGGACAACGGGGAAAAUGAUCGGAUGCAAGAGACGAACACGUAUGCAAAUGCAAUGCACAUGAUGACAUGAUAUGAGAUGCAUGACAUGAACAAAAUGCAAAACGAAAAACAAAACCCCACCACGAAGGGAAUAUCAUAACACAUAGCCAAAAAUGACAAGAGUUGGAGUUACAAAUAUGGAAAGUUACAUCCGGGGUGUUACAGGCUGCCCUAGGGGAGGCGCCCCAACCUCUACACAUUAUGUGAGAUGGGGUGGGAGGGGCGCACAGCCCCUUAGUGGGCUGGUGUGCCCCCUCCCCUUGGCCCAUAAGGCCCCCCAACGCUUGUCGGGGCCUCUGAAACACCUUUCGGUCACGCUGGUCGUCACCCGGUACUCCCAGAACAAUUCCGGACUCCAAUACCCUUCGUCCAAUAUAUCGAUCUUCACCUCCAGACCACUCCGGAGUUCCUCGUCACGUCCGGGAUCUCAUCCGGGACUCCGAACAACCUUCGGUAACGACAUACUAUUUCCCAUAACAACUCUAGCGUCACCGAACCUUAAGUGUGUAGACCUUACGGGUUCGGGAACCAUGCAAACAUGACCGAGACACCUCUCCGGCCAAUAACCAAUAGCGGGAUCUGGAUACCCAUAUUGGCUCCCACAUGUUCCACGAUGAUCUCAUCGGAUGAACCACGAUGUCGGGGAUUCAAUCAAUCCCGUAUACAAUUCCCUUUGUCUAUCGGUAUGUUACUUCCCCGAGAUUCGACCGUCGGUAUCCCCAUACCUCGUUCAAUCUCGUUACCGCCAAGUCUCUUUACUCGUUCCGCAAGGCAUGAUCCCGUGGCUAACUCAUUAGUCACAUUGAGCUCAUUAUGAUGAUGCAUUAUCGAGUGGGCCCAGAGAUACCUCUCCGUCAUACGGAGUGACAAAUCCGAGUCUCGAUUCGUGCCAACCCAAUAGACAGUUUCGGAGAUACCUGUAGUGCACCUUUAUAGUCACCCAGUUACGUUGUGACGUUUGAUGCACCCAAAGCACUCCUACGGUAUCCGGGAGUUGCACAAUCUCAUGGUCUAAGGAAACGAUACUUGACAUUAUAAAAGGUCUAGCAAAACAAACUACACGAUCUUGUGCUAUGCUUAGGAUUGGGUCUUGUCCAUCACAUCAUUCUCCCAAUGAUGUGAUCCCGUUAUCAACGACAUCCAAUGUCCAUGGCCAGGAAACCAUGACCAUCUAUUGAUCAACGAGCUAGUCAACUAGAGGCUUACUAGGGACAUGUUGUGGUCUAUGUAUUCACACAUGUAUUACAGUUUCCGAUCAAUACAAUUAUAGCAUGAACAAUAGACAAUUAUCAUGAACAAGGAAAUAUAAUAAUAUCCAUUUUAUUAUUGACUCUAGGGCAUAUUUCCAACAAUAACUAUCCCUCAACAUGCAACAAAGAGUCACUCCAAAGUCACUAAUAGCGGAGAACAAACGAAGAGAUUAUGGUAGGGGUACGAAACCACCUCAAAGUUAUUCUUUCCAAUCAAUCCGUUGGGCUAUUCCUCUAAGUGUCACAAACAGCCCUAGAGUUCGUACUAGAAUAACACCUUAAGACACAAAUCAAUCAAAACCCUAAUGUCACCUAGAUACUCCAAUGUCACCUCAAGUAUCCGUGGGUAUGAUUAUACGAUAUGCAUCACACAAUCUCAGAUUCAUCUAUUCAACCAACACAUAGAACCUCAAAGAGUGCCCCAAAGUUUCUACUGGAGAAUCAAGAUGAAAACGUGUGCCAACCCCUAUGCAUAGGUUCAUGGGCGGAACCCGCAAGUUGAUCACCAAAACAUACAUCAAGUGAAUCACGUGAUAUCCCAUUGUCACCACAGAUACACACGGCAAGACAUACAUCAAGUGUUCUCAAAUCAUUAAAGACUCAAUCCGAUAAGAUUACUUCAAAGGGAAAACUCAAUCCAUUACAAGAGAGUAGAGGGGGAGAAGCAACAUAAGAUCCAACUAUAAUAGCAAAGCUCGCGGUACAUCAAGAUCGUAUCACCUCAAGAACAUGAGAGAGAGAGAGAUCAAACACAUAGCUACUAGUACAUACCCUCAGCCCCGAGGGUGAACUACUCCCUCCUCGUCAUGGAGAGCGCCCGGAUGAUGAAGAUGGCCACCGGUGAGGGUUCCCCCCUCCGGCAGGGUGCCGGAACAGGCCGAUUGGUUUUUGGUGGCUACAGAGGCUUGCGGCGGCGGAACUCCCGAUCUCUUCUGUUCCCCGAUCGUUUUAGGGUAUAUGGGUAUAUAUAGGUGAAAGAAGUACGUCAGGGGAGCCACGAGGGGCCCACGAGGGUGGAGGGCGCGCCCAGGGGGUGGGCGCCCCCUGCCUCGUGCCUUCCUCGUUGCUUCUUUGACGUGGACUCAAGUCUCCCGGGUUGCUUUCCUUCCAAAAUAACUUCUCCAGAAGGUUUCAUUCCGUUUCGACUCCAUUUGAUAUUCUUUUUCUUCGAAACACUGAAACAAGGGAAAAAACAGGAACUGGCACUGGGCUCUGGGUCAAUAGGUUAGUCCCAACAGUAAUAUAAAAGUGUAAAAUGAAGCCCAUAAACAUCCAAGAUGGAUAAUAUAAUUGCAUGGAACAAUAAAAAAUUAUAGAUACGUUGGAGACGUAUCAGCAUCCCCAAGCUUAAUUCCUGCUCGUCCUCGAGUAGGUAAAUGAUAAAAACAGAAUUUUUGAUGUGGAAUGCUACUUGGAAUAAUUUCAAUGUAAUUCUUCUUAAUUGUGGUAUGAAUAUUCAAAUCAGAAAGAUUCAAGAUAAAAGUUCAUAUUGACAUAAAAGUAAUAAUACUUCAAGCAUACUAACUAAGCAAUCAUGUCUUCUCAAAAUAACAUGCCAAAGAAAGUUAUCCCUACAAAAUCAGAUAGUCUGGCUAUGCUCUAUCUUCACCACACAAAGUAUUUAAAUCAUGCACAACCCCGAUGACAAGCCAAGCAAUUGUUUCAUACUUUUGAUGUUCUCAAACUUUUUCAAUCUUCACGCAGUACAUGAGCGUGAGCCAUGGACAUAGCACUAUAUGUGGAAUAGAAUGGUGGUUGUGGAGAAGACAAAAAGGAGAAGAUAGUCUCACAUCAACUAGGCGUAUCAACGGGCUAUGGAGAUGCCCGACAAUAGAUAUCAAUGUGAGUGAGUAGGGAUUGCCAUGCAACGGACGCACUAGAGCUAUAAGUGUAUGAAAUCUCAACAAGAAACUAAGUGGGUGUGCAUCCAACUCGCUUGCUCACAAAGACCUAGGGCAUUUUGAGGAAGCCCAUCAUUGGAAUAUACAAGCCAAGUUAUAUAAUGAAAGAUUCCCACUAGUAUAUGAAAGUGACAACAUAGGAGACUCUCUAUCAUGAAGAUCAUGGUGCUACUUUGAAGCACAAGUGUGGUAAAAGGAUAGUAGCAUUGUCCCUUUUCUCUUUUUCUCUCAUUUUUUUAUUUUUUUGUUUGGGCCUUUUCUCUUUUUUUUUUCCUUUUUUUCCUUUUUUAUUAUUUUAUUUUUCGUCUGGAGUCUCAUCCCGACUUGUGGGGGAAUCAUAGUCUCCAUCAUCCUUUCCUCACUGGGACAAUGCUCUAAUAAUGAUGAUCAUCACACUUUUAUUUACUUACAACUCAAGAAUUACAACUCGAUACUUAGAACAAAAUAUGACCCUAUAUGAAUGCCUCCGGCGGUGUACCGGGAUGUGCAAUGACUCAUGAGUGACAUGUAUGAAAGAAUUUAGGUAAGGUGGCUUUGCCACAAAUACGAUGUCAGCUACAUGAUCAUGCAAAGCAAUAUGACAAUGAUGGAGCGUGUCAUAAUAAACGGAACGGUGGAAAUUUGCAUGGCAAUAUAUCUCGGAAUGGCUAUGGAAAUGCCAUAAUAGGUAGCUAUGGUGGCUGUUUUGAGUAAGGUAUAUGGUGGGUGUAUGAUACCGGCGAAAGGUGCGCGGUAUUAGAGAGGCUAGCAAUGGUGGAAGGGUGAGAGUGCGUAUAAUCCAUGGACUCAACAUUAGUCAUAAAGAACUCAUAUACUUAUUGCAAAAAUCUAUUAGUUAUCGAAACAAAGUACUACGCGCAUGCUCCUAGGGGGAUAGAUUGGUAGGAAAAGACCAUCGCUACAAUCAAUAAAUAAAUUAUGCUCCGACUUCAUCACAUAACGGUUCACCAUACGUGCAUGCUACGGGAAUCACAAAAUUUAACACAAGUAUCUCUCAAAUUCACAACUACUCAACUAGCAUGACUCUAAUAUCACCAUCUUUAUAUCUCAAAACAAUCAUAAAGAAUCAAACUUCUCAUAGUAUUCAAUGCACUUUAUAUGAAAGUUUUUAUUAUAUCCCUCUUGGAUGCCCAUCAUAUUAGGACUAGUUUCAUAACCAAAGCAAAUUACCAUGCUGUUCUAAAGACUCUCAAAAUAAUAUAAGUGAAGCACGAGAGUUCAUCUAUUUCUUCAAAAUAAAACUGCAGUCGUGCUCUAAAACAUAUAAGUGAAGCACUAGAGCAAACGACAGACUACUCUGAAAGAUAUAAGUGAAGAUCAAUGAGUAGUUGAAUAAUUAUUUAGCUAUGUGAAGACUCUCCCAUUUAAUAAUUUCAGAUCUUAGUAUUUUAUUCAAACAUCAAGAAAAUCUAAAGAAAAUAAAACGACGCUCCAAGCAAAACACAUAUCACGUGGUGAAUAAAAAUAUAGCUCCAAGUAAAGUUACCGAUGAAAGUAGACGAAAGAGGGGAUGCCUUCCGGGGCAUCCCCAAGCUUAGGCUCUUGGUUGUCCUUGAAUAUUACCUUGGGGUGCCUUGGGCAUCCCCAAGCUUAGGCUCUUGCCACUCCUUAUUCCAUAGUCCAUCGAAUCUUUACCCAAAACUUGAAAACUUCACAACACAAAACUUAACAGAAAACUCGUAAGCUCCGUUAGCGAAAGAAAACAAAACACCACUUAAAGUUACUGUAAUGAACUAAUUAUUUAUUUGUAUUGAUGUUAAAUCUACUAUAUUCCACCUUCUCUAUGGUUUAUAAACUAUUUUACUUGCCAUAGAUUCAUCAAAAUAAGCAAACAACACACGAGAAACAGAAUCUGUCAAAAACAGAACAGUCUGUAGUAAUCUGUAACUAAUGCAAACUUCUAGAACUCCAAAAAUUCUAAAAUAAAUUGGUGGACCUGAGGAAUUUGUCUAGUAAUCAUCUGCAAAAAAGAAUCAACUAAAUAGCACUCUCCAGUAAAAAGUUUUAGCUAAUCUCGUGAGCGCUAAAGUUUCUGUUUUUUACAGCAUGAUCAUAAAGACUUCACCCAAGUCUUCCCAAAGGUUCUACUUGGCACAAACACUAAUUAAAACACAAAAACACAUCUAAACAGAAGCUAGAUGGAUUAUUUAUUCCUAAACAGAACCAAAAAGCAAUAAACUAAAAUAAAAUUGGGUUGCCUCCCAACAAGCGCUAUCGUUUAACGCCCCUAGCUAGGCAUGAUGAUUUCAAUGAUGCUCACAAAAAGAUAAGAACUGAAACAUAAAGGGAGCAUCAUGAAGAAUAUGAAUAGCACAUUUAAGUAUAACCCACUUCCUAUGCAUAGGGAUUUUGUGAGCAAACAACUUAUUGGAACAAUAAUCAACUAGCAUAGGAAGGCAAAAGAAGCAUAACUUCAAAACUUUAAGCACAUAGAGAGGAAACUUGAUAUUAUUGCAAUUCCUACAAGCAUAUAUUCCUCCCUCAUAAUAAUUUUCAGUAGCAUCAUGAAUGAAUUCAACAAUAUAACCAGCACCUAAAGCAUUCUUUUCAUGAUCUACUUGCAUAGAAUUUUUUAUUACUCUCCACAUAAGCAAAUUUCUUCUCAUGAAUAAUAGUGGGAGCAAACUCAAGAAAAUAACUAUCAUGUGAUUGAAAAUUAAGAUCAAGAUGACAAGUUUCAUGGUUAUCAUUAUUAUUUAUAGCAUACGUGCCGUCACAAUAAUCAUCAUAGAUAGGAGUCAUGCUUUCAUCAUAAUAAAUUUGCUCAUCAAAACUUGGGGGACUAAACAUAUCAUCUUCAUCAAACAUAGCAUCCCCAAGCUUGUGGCUUUGCAUAUCAUUAGCAUCAUGGGUAUUCAAGGAAUUCAUACUAACAACAUUGCAAUCAAGCUCAUCAUACAAAGAUUUAGUGCCAAACAUUUUAUAGAUUUCUUCUUCUAGCACUUGAGCACAAUUUUCCUUUCCAUCAUUUUCACGAAAGAUAUUAGAAAGAUGAAGCAUUUGAGGCACCCUCAAUUCCAUUUUUUUUCUAAUUUUCUUCUAUAAACUAAACUAGUGAUAAAACAAGAAACUAAAAGAUUCGAUUGCAAGAUCUAAAGAUAUACCUUCAAGCACUCACCUCCCCGGCAACAGCGCCAGAAAAGAGCUUGAUGUCUACUACACAACCUUCUUCUUGUAGACAUUGUUGGGCCUCCAAGUGCAGAGGUUUGUAGGACAGUAGCAAAUUUCCCUCAAGUGGAUGACCUAAGGGUUAUCAAUCCGUGGGAGGCGUAGGAUGAAGAUGGUCUCUCUCAAGCAACCCUGCAACCAAAUAACAAAGAGUCUAUUGUGUCCCCAACACACCCAAUACAAUGGUAAAUUGUAUAGGUGUACUAGUUCGGCGAAGAGAUGGUGAUACAAGUGCAAUAUGGAUGGUAGAUAUAGGUUUUUGUAAUCUGAAAUUAUAGAAACAGCAAGGUAGCAAGUGGUAAAAGUGAGCGUAAACGGUAUUGCAAUGCUAGGAAACAAGGCCUAGGGUUCAUACUUUCACUAGUGCAAGUUCUCUCAACAAUAAUAACAUAGUUGGAUCAUAUAACUAUCCCUCAACAUGCAACAAAGAGUCACUCCAAAGUCACUAAUAGCGGAGAACAAACGAAGAGAUUAUGGUAGGGUACGAAACCACCUCAAAGUUAUUCUUUCCAAUCAAUCCGUUGGGCUAUUCCUAUAAGUGUCACAAACAGCCCUAGAGUUCGUACUAGAAUAACACCUUAAGACACAAAUCAACCAAAACCCUAAUGUCACCUAGAUACUCCAAUGUCACCUCAAGUAUCCGUGGGUAUGAUUAUACGAUAUGCAUCACACAAUCUCAGAUUCAUCUAUUCAACCAACACAUAGAGCCUCAAAGAGUGCCCCAAAGUUUCUACCGGAGAAUCAAGACGAAAACGUGUGCCAACCCCUAUGCAUAGGUUCAUGGGCGGAACCCGCAAGUUGAUCACCAAAACAUACAUCAAGUGAAUCACGUGAUAUCCCAUUGUCACCACAGAUACGCACGGCAAGACAUACAUCAAGUGUUCUCAAAUCAUUAAAGACUCAAUCCGAUAAGAUUACUUCAAAGGAAAAAAUCAAUCCAUUACAAGAGAGUAGAGGGGGAGAAGCAACAUAAGAUCCAACUAUAAUAGCAAAGCUCGCGAUACAUCAAGAUCGUAUCACCUCAAGAACACGAGAGAGAAAGAUCAAACACAUAUCUACUGGUACAUACCCUCAGCCCCGAGGGUGAAGUACUCCCUCCUCGUCAUGGAGAGCGCCGGGAUGAUGAAGAUGGCCACCGGUGAGGGUUCCCCCCUCCGGCAGGGUGCCGGAACAGGGUCCUGAUUGGUUUUUGGUGGCUACAGAGGCUUGCGGCGGCGGAACUCCCGAUCUCUUCUGUUCCCCGAUCGUUUUAGGGUAUAUGGGUAUAUAUAGGUGAAAGAAGUACGUCAGGGGAGCCACGAGGGCCCCACGAGGGUGGAGGGCGCGUCCAAGGGGGUGGGCGCGCCCCCUGCCUCGUGCCUUCCUCGUUGCUUCUUUGACGUGGACUCCAAGUCUCCCGAGUUGCUUUCCUUCCAAAAAUAACCUCCAGAAGGUUUCAUUCCAUUUCGACUCCGUUUGAUAUUCCUUUUCUUCGAAACACUGAAACAAGGGAAAAAACAGGAACUGGCACUGGGCUCUGGGUCAAUAGGUUAGUCCCAAAAGUAAUAUAAAAGUGUAAAAUAAAGCCCAUAAACAUCCAAUAUGGAUAAUAUAAUAGCAUGGAACAAUAAAAAAUUAUAGAUACAUUGGAGACGUAUCACCCACGCAGCAUGGAAGAUACUGACCGCACCCUGUCGCUUCAUGAGUGAUUCGGGCAUACAAAACAAAUUAUUAUUUGAAGAUUUAGAGUUUGGCACAUGCAAAUUUACUUGAAAGGGCAGGUAAAUACCGCAUAUAGGUGAUGACCCACAAGUAUAGGGGAUCAAUCAUAGUCCUUUCGAUAAGUAAGAGUGUCGAACCCAACGAGGAGCAGAAGGAAAUGACAAGCGGUUUUCAGCAAGGUAAUUUCUGCAACCACUGAAAUUGACGGUAAUAGGUGGUUUGAUAGUAAGAUAAUUUGUAACGAGCAAGUAACGGUGACGGUUACAAAAGUACAACAAGGUACCCCAAUCCUUUUUUAGCAAAGGACAGACCAGAACAAUUAUAAUAAGUAAAGCGUUCUUGGGGGCACACGGGAAUUUCAUCUAAUCACUUUCGUCAUGUUGGUUUGAUUUUCCUUCGCUACUUUGAUAAUUUAAUAUGUGGGUGGACUGGUGCUUGGGUGUUGUUCUUACUUGAACAAGCUUCCCACUUAUGAUUAACCCCCCUCGCAAGCAUCCGCAACUACGGAAGAGGAAUUAAGAUAAGUUCUUACCAUAGCAUUAAACAUAUGGAUCCAAAUCAGCCCCUUACGAAAUAGCGCAUAAACUAGGGUUUAAGAUUCUGUCACUCUGGCAACCCAUCUUCUAAUAACUACUCCACAAUGCAUUCCCUUAGGCCCAAAGAUGGUGAAGUGCCAUGUAGUCGACGUUCACAUAACACCACUAAGGGAAUCACAACAUACACAUCAUCAAAAUAUCGAACGAAUAUCAAAUUCACAUGAUUACUUGCAACAUGACUUCUCCCGUGGCCUCAAGAAUGGGGGCAAAUACUCACUAAUAAUAUUCAUGCUCAAGAUCAGAGGAGUAAUCGCUUCGAUUUCCCCCUCGAGGAGGGAAGUUACCCCGGCAUAAUCGGUUCGCCGGAGGGCAAAAGUGUUCCUGCCCAAGUUCCAGCUCGAGACAGUGGCGCUCCAUCCCGAAAGUCCUCUCCUGAUUUUUUCUAAGUCAAAAGACCUUAUGUACCAGAAUAUGAGCACCAGAGGUGGGCCAGGGGGCCCACUACCCACCAGGGCACGCCUGGAGGGGGUGGCGCGCCAUGGUGCCUAGGGGGCACCUGGGUGACCCCUCUGGUAUUUAUUUUCUCCAAUAUUUAUUAUAUAUUCCAAAAUAAUUCUCCGUGAAAUUUUAGCUCAUUUGGAGAUGUGCAGAAUAGGUAUCUCUGACAUAGCUUUUUUAGGUCCAGAAUUCCAGCUGCCGGCAUUCUCCCUCUUUGUGUAAACCUUGCAUAUUAUGGGAGAAAAGGCAUUAGAAUUACACCACAAAGUGUUAUAAUGAAUAAAAACACUAAAAAAACAGUAGGAAAACAUGAUGCAAAAUGGACGUUUCAAUAGGUAGGUAUGGUGGGCUCAUCUGAAAUAACUUUGGGUUUAAGGAAGUGGAUGCAAAAGCAGUAUCCCCACUUAGUACAAGUGAAGGCUAGCAAAGAGAUUGAGGAGCGGCCAACUAGAGAGCGACAACGGUCAUAAACAUGCAUUGAGAUUAAUCAACAUUGUGUACAAGCAUGAGUAGGAUAUAAAUCACCAUGAACAUAAAUAUCGUGCAGGCUAUUGAUACGUCUCCAACGUAUCUAUAAUUUUUUAUUGUUCCAUGCUGUUAUAUUAUCAUUCUUGGAUGUUUUACAAUCAUUUUGUAGCAACUUUAUAUCAUUUUUUGGGACUAACCUAUUGACAUAGUGCCCAGUGCUAGUUGCUAUUUUUUUGCUUCGCAGAAAAUCAAUACCAAACGGAGUCCAAAGGCAGCGAAACUUUUUGGUGAUUUUUUCUGGACCAGAAGACACCUGUUGGGCCAAAGAAGUACCAGAGGGGGGGGGGCUCUGAGGGGAGUCAACGAAAAUCAAUUCCAGCCGCCGCAAGUUCCAGAAACCACAUAUCCAAUCUAGACACCAUCACAGAGGGGUUCAUCAUCCUCAUUGGUGCCUCUCCGAUGAUGCGUGAGUAGUUCAUUGUAGACCUACGGGUCCGUAGUUAGUAGCUAGAUGGCUUCCUCUCUAUCUCUUUUGAUUCUUAAUACAAUGGUCUCUUGGAGAUCUAUUUGAUGUAACUCUUUUUGCGGUGUGUUUGUUGGGAUCUGAUGAACUUUGAGUUUAUGAUCAGAUCUAUGUUCUUAUCCAUGAAAGUUAUUUGAGUCUCUUGAUCUCUUAUAUGCAUGAUUACUUAUAGCCUUGUAUUUCUUCUUCGGAUCUUUGGUUUAGUUAGACCGACUAGAUCAAUUUUUCUUGCCAUGGGAAGAGGUGCUUUGUGAUGGGUUCGAUCUUACAAUGCUCAAUCCCAAUGACAGAAGGGGAAAUGACACGUAUGUAUCAUUGCUAUUAAGGAUAACAAGAUGGGGUUCAUUCCUACAUGAAUAGAUCUUGCCUACAUCAUGUCAUCGUUCUUAUUGCAUUACUCCGUUUCUCCAUGAACUUAAUACACUAGAUGCAUGCUCGAUAGCGCACUACAAAAAAAA
rnacentral:lncRNA from 1 species